AACCCAUGGUGAGGGCACUUUAUCAGUAAGUCUUUGUAUCUCUCCCAUGCAUCGUAAAGUGUUUCUAAAUCCAUCUACACAAAAGAAGAGAUAUCAUUACGUAAUUU
rnacentral:snoRNA from 1 species